AGGUGCGACUAUACCAGCACUAAUGCACCGGAUUCCAUCAAAACUCCGUAGUGAAGUGUACUUGGGCGAGAGUAGUAGUAGGAUGGAUGACCUCCUGGGAAGUUCUCGUGUUGCACCUC